rnacentral:tRNA from 1 species
UCCCUGGUGGUUCAGUGGCUAGGACUCUGCCAUUCCAAAGCAGGAGGCCUGGGUUCAAUCCCUGGUCAGGGAA